rnacentral:rRNA from 1 species
UACAGAGGGGGCAAGCGUUGUUCGGAAUUACUGGGCGUAAAGGGCGCGUAGGCGGCCUUCUAAGUCGAACGUGAAAUCCCCGGGCUCAACCCGGGAACUGCGUCCGAUACUGGAAGGCUUGAAUCCGGGAGAGGGAUGUGGAAUUCCAGGUGUAGCGGUGAAAUGCGUAGAUAUCUGGAGGAACACCGGUGGCGAAGGCGGCUCACUGGCCCGGUACUGACGCUGAGGUGCGAAAGCGUGGGGAGCAAACAGG